rnacentral:rRNA from 1 species
AUUGAACGCCGGCGGCAUGCCUUACACAUGCAAGUCGAACGGCAGCAUGAUCUAGCUUGCUAGAUUGAUGGCGAGUGGCGAACGGGUGAGUAAUACAUCGGAACGUGCCCUGUAGUGGGGGAUAACUAGUCGAAAGAUUAGCUAAUACCGCAUACGACCUGAGGGUGAAAGUGGGGGACCGCAAGGCCUUAUGCUAUAGGAGCGGCCGAUGUCUGAUUAGCUAGUUGGUGAGGUAAAGGCUCACCAAGGCGACGAUCAGUAGCUGGUUUGAGAGGACGAUCAGCCACACUGGGACUGACACACGGCGCAGACUCCUACGGGAGGCAGCAGUGGGGAAUUUUGGACGAUGGGGGCAACCCUGAUCCAGCAAUGCCGCGUGUGUGAAGAAGGCCUUCGGGUUGUAAAGCACUUUUGUCCGGAAAGAAAUCGCACUUACUAAUAUUAGGUGUGGAUGACGGUACCGGAAGAAUAAGGACCGGCUAACUACGUGCCAGCCGCCGCGGUAAUAC